GGAAGGCGGGAUGAUAACGGAAUCAAUGGAGAGGCCUGAGUAGGGUUAAUGCGGGCCCGAAGAUGUAGCUAGCAGGAGUAUGACAAUUAGUGGGAAAGUCUGAGCACGAGAGGCAUGCCAAAGCCAUCAGUUCCAGUCUUGUUAUUUCCAAAAAGCCCUGAAGCCAGUCUUGCAAAGAGGUGGUGGUGGCCAUGCAGUUGGAUACCUGGAACUCUUAGCUCUCUGUAGAAUGCCAGGACACCAAAGGCUGGAAGCCUUAGCCGUGCCUUGUCAGGAAAAACUCUGUGAAGGCUCGUCUGUAUUAAACAGUGGUUACAAGGAGCAGGUCUGUGCCAAAUCGAAGACAUGCAGCUGCCAGAUCUUGAAUACAAACCUUAAAAACCUCACAAACAUCAAGUUCCAGAGGAGUCUCCAAGUCCUAGAACUUCUAGGACACUGUUGGCUUCAGGAAAACUGGUCACUUCAGAGCCCAAUGCUAAGGACCCCUAUUUCCCAACUUUGUGAUCUUAAGCAAGCUGCACCUCCAUUUUGCCCAUCGGUCUAAUAACAAUACAGCCAUGAUGAGAUGGACCUCAGAGGGUGAGAAGUGUUCGGCUCUGUCUGGAAUGUAGAAAAUUCUAGAUAAAUGUUGGCUACCAAAAUUAUGGCAGCUGUUUAGAAUCCU
rnacentral:lncRNA from 1 species